rnacentral:rRNA from 1 species
GUGCCAGCAGCCGCGGUAAUACGUAGGUGGCAAGCUUUGUCCGGAAUUAUUGGGCGUAAAGCGCGCGCAGGUGGGAUAUUAAGUCUGGUGUUAAAGUUCGGGGCUCAACCCCGUGAAGCAUUUGGAAACUGAUAUUCUUGAGUGCAGGAGAGGAAAGUGGAAUUCCUAGUGUAGCGGUGAAAUGCGUAGAUAUUAGGAGGAACACCAGUGGCGAGGGCGACUUUCUGGACUGUGUCUGACACUGAGGCGCGAAAGCUAGGGUAGUGAACAGGAUUAGAUACCCUGGUAAUCCUAGCUGUAAACGAUGGAUACUAGGUGUUGGGGGUAUCGACCCCUCCAGUGCCGGAGUUAACGCAAUAAGUACCCCGCCUGGGGAGUACGGCCGCAAGGUAAAAACUCAAAGGAAUUGACGG